rnacentral:lncRNA from 1 species
GUUAAUCCGUGUGCCAACAAACAGGGGAAUCUAGUAGUCGAUCUUAAUGGAAUCAAUAUAGUGCACAUACAUACAAAAGUGAAUCAGUGUGAAUGUGCGAUUGCUGCAUGGUGCAGGGCUUUGGGAACAAGGAGAGUUGACUGAGUGCUUGGCACCAUGAAUACUCUUCGCACUUCUAGCUGCUCUUGUUCAGAAGCAUGUGAUUCCACUCAGGUUUAGCAUUAUGGACUAUGGUGUGAAUUAGAGGAACCGUUUCGUGAAUAUGUCAAGCUCUCUCUUUCAAGUUUUUCCUUGACGUUUCGAUUCUGACAGGUUUUUUAAUUUUUGCAAAAUUCAAGAGUUUGAUUAGAAAUAUUUAAAUACUACUAUAAUUUAAAUUAAUCGGGAAGAAUAAUCAGGAUGGGAUAUUAUCAAGAGGACAGGAGGAGGCUUGCAUGGG